CUGAGGAUAAUUCAAAACGACUUUAGUGAUCCUUUAGUACCACCAGCAGGGAAACGCUUUUACUUGAGAGUAAAAAUAUUUCAGCUGUACAAUUUUAUUCUGACAAUCAUGUUCCCUUCAGGAUGAAUUGCAAUCCUUUUGGUGGUCCCCUCACUGUUCAUCUAGCUUCAUCAGCACUCAGGAAGUGAUUAUAGUACGACUGGGCAGGGUAACAGAACACAUUUUCACACCUUUAAAUCAAGACAAGUUACAAGGAAGAUUUCGAUCACUACUGCACAGGUAGACGAGAUGUUUUUGGCUUCGUUUUUGAAGCUUACAUCUGGAAAAUCUAUGAACGUUCUUUUACAUGAAAAUCCCGUAAUUCCAUAUGAUGCCUCUUAAAUCUCAACAGGAAGUGCAUUCAUGUUUGAGACCUUUUUCUGGUUUACAGGCUCAUGUUGCUGUGAAGAGAUUCAGGUUCACCUCAUGGGCCUCUGGACUCUGACCUUUGUCCUCCACGUCAGUAAAUCAGUGAGAGCUGUAUUAUUAAAAUGUUUCUGCCUUUUAAAAGGUGGGUUAUGGCUGCCUAUUUCAACAUAACCAAUGAAACUACAAAAGUGUAACUGAUAAUCUGCCUCAGCGCAUGUAUAAACCCACCCUUUCAGAGUCUUACUACAUGAAACACCAAUCACUCGUCGACCUCUGCUCCAUUUCGGAAAACAAAACCCCCAGUUGACCUUUUUUUGUCAUGGUAUUAACCUCCGUCUCAGUCCACAUAUUUACUCACGUGGGGUUUUGCUGGUUCGCUGCACCCACCAUCAUAUUACUUAAUGCUGUGCUUGGCCAUGACCUCCGCUGUGAGACGGGUCGAGUCUCUCUCUCACCGAGUUCACCUUUUACCCAGAAACCAGGAGGAAAAGCCUGAGGUGUGUGGGAAACGUGAAGGGAAAAGUGUAAACACGUGUGGAGACACAAAUUUUUCAUUUUUCUGAAUUGUGAGAAAUUAUUGUUGCCUCUUCUGUUUGUUUGUUUGCCUUUUUUCACCCCCAAAUUGUAUUCCAAGUGGUCGCCACAAGAUUUAAAAUGUCAAUACUUGUCAAUACUGCUACACUUGUAAAUACUGACAUUUUGACAGUUUGAUUCCAUCUGUUGAGACUCAUAAUCACAUUAUUUUUUAUUGAUUUUUAGACUGACGUUGCUGCUAGUUUAGGCUGAUGUUCCAUGUAAAGUUUAGGAAAAUGUUUUACACAUUAACAGCCAUUUGUCCACUUUUGAAACAGAGCAGCAAAGGUUGCCAGAUCAAAAACUCUCCGGUUGGGCAGAGUUUUGUUUGUUAAAUGGCUGGUGAAAGAUCUUCAAAUUAAGCUGACAAAAACUGUUCUGAAACAUCAUUUAGACAGUCAUGUUGAUGGAUUCUUUGGAGCUCUGUCUCUACUUUGAGUCUUGUCAUUUUUUCCCCUUUUUUCUUCCAAUUGAGCUUCUUGUUGUCUCAGGAUGCGCGUCAGUUUUUCCAUUGAGAAGAUUUAUUUGUCUGUGGCGCUACCUUCACUCUGUUUCUUGUAAAGGCUUUUUGACUUGCGACCAAACAGUAUCCUAACCAAAUAUGUGUUGUGUCUUGUUACGCUUUCUUCAGAGACGUGACAGAGACGAAGGAUUAAGCAACAGAGCAGAAAGAGCAGUUUCAGCUGUGUGAGUUUGUGCCAUUGCAUCCUCCUGCCAGCGUCUUUUUAUGGCUUAUGAUCAAUAACUGUGCUGCCUGCAUCUGAACAUGCAUUAAAAACCAACAUCCAUGAUAAAUCCUCCAGCAGGAGACGGGACCAGCAGACAUGUGGCUGUGGAUUACUUAAACAUCUCUCGUACUGCUGAAGCUCUUCAAAUCAUUGUUGUCUGCUCUGCCUGAUGCGUAUUGAUGAGGAAUCAAUCAGCUCCAUAGACACUCGUUUCAGCAUCCACUAUUAAUAAAAAAAUUCCAAGAUUAUCCCCCAAAUUAAAAAAGUUAAUCAUUAACAUAAAUAAUUAUUAGUUGCAUUCAAUGACUGCCUACACUUGCUCUUUUCAAGCCAAACAAGUAGCUUGUUUCCAUCAUUAAGGAGACCUUGAAACCAAAUCAAAUGUGUUUUAUGAUCUCUUCCUGUUUGGCCCGGCCUGGACGCUCCUCGAAGCCCGCAGAAAAGAAAACAUGUUUUGCUGCCAGCCUCUCUGGACUUCGAUUCGUACACUCGGAGCUGAUGGACAGGUAACCCGCUAUCUCCAUCCUGUCAGUACCACUCAGUGCUUGGCAGGGAAAUGACUUUACGAGUUUUUGUUCUGAUAAAGAGCUGCCGGUGCUUGGCCUCCAGGUUUGUUUUUCCGCUCCCCCUUCAGUCACUGUGUACAAAGGUUUACGCACAGUGACAGUGAAGUGAUGCUCACAGCGCGAACAACACAAGUCACAGCAGGCUCCAGUCGCAGCAGUAAAACAGACUUGGGGAGGAUGAGGGUGUGUGUGUUCACAUCUCUCGGCUCUGACCCAGUUUACUGUGGGUGCGACCCCCCUGGACCAGAAGUCAGGACGACCUGCAGGAAAGAAAGGCCUUUAAAUGUCACAGUGCGUCAAACUGACUGCUGCUUCCUCCAUCUGCACGGCCCAUCAGACAAGUGUCCUUGUGCAAACCGCUGCACGUCCAGCGUCGGUUGGCGUCAAGGCGACCGGCCGAUCCCCCUCAUUGUUCCAUCAGGUCAGCAGAAAGCCGAGCCUUCCUGCUCGACGACUCUGCAGAGAAAAAAAGCCAACGCUCUUGAGUGUUGCCAUUGUUCCUCUUCUGUUGUAGCAAGAAGAAAAUAAAGAUGAUGUGAGUACCAAUUAUCACUGCUGCUGUUUCAGAUU